UGAGCAGACCACCAACAAAGCCGCCGCGUUCUCCUCUGCGACACGCAACCUUUUUCCCUCCCCCUAUACACUAGAUCAGAUCCUUGAUAUAGAGAAGAACCCGCCUCCUCCUCCCAACCACAACUACCUCCAUCUCGGCAAGGUGAGCCCGUGAGUCUGGCUACCAUGAUUUUUCCCGCGAAACCCCCGUGUGCUCUCUGGUUCGCAGGUUCCUCGUCGAUCGACGGGCUGGGCUUGCGGCGAUCUUGGAGCGAGUUGCGAGGCGGCUGCAUCUUCCGGUCUGCCCGUCCGGCGAGUCAGAUCUGUUACCUAUCUGAUGGCCCGCGGCGGAUCUGGGGGUUCCCGGUGGUCUCGGGUUGACCCUGCGGCGAGGAAGGCGUCUUCUCCGGCAUGCACGUGGGGAUCCCGUCUUCUCCGCCUCGCGCGACGGCGGCUCUUGUAUUGAUAAUUAUCCGAUGAUAUCUCGAUAAUUAUUAGAUCUAAGAGAUCGGAGGUAAGAGCAUGUAACAAGCGAGGUGAUCGUGCCAAGAGGGAAAAAGGAGUGAAAAAAGAGAGAGAUGUGACACCUAGAGGCCUUUGCCAUGUUGGGUGCGCUCGCAUGGCAGGCCACCACCGUAAUAAAGAUGGUUCUUGUGUCCGGGGGGAGAUCGCACGGGGAUUUUUCUGUUUCAGCCCCGGGGUCUCCCCCCACCGUGUCCUGGUGUGCUCCUUUGUCUGCACCUCUCGUCCGAUCCAAUCUUCCUGGCACAACGUUCUACCGUCGCGAAUCGAUCAAGGAGCUACAAACCAAAGGUACAAUCGAUAAUCUACAGCUGAAGCAUACAUAAACUUGAGACAAAGUACUGCUCUCGUAAAUUGUAAUUCUGUUCUGAGCUUGUUUACACGGAGGAAUUCGUGAUCACUUGAACCCGUUUAAGUUACUCUCAGUCUCGUAGUUGUAGUGAAAUCAUUUGUCUGAUUCGCUGUUGAAUCUGCUAUCAUAUCACAGCUCAAAUUUGAACUUAAAUAACAAUCGGCAGUCUAAACAGAAGGCCAAAUCGUUUUGUUUUCUAUUUUUCCCCAGAAUAUGGUAUAUAUAUCAAGGGUUGUUAUUUUUUCUAAAUUUGUGUUCAUAUGUUUGUCUGCUCUCUUGAGAUGUACAAUGAUCACAAUUUGAUCGUGGUCUCUAUUUCAAUUUGAGAUGUACAAUGUACAAUGUUCAUAUGUUUGUCUGCUCUCCUGAAUAGCUUUAUGAUGGGAUUGUAUAGUCCAGAAAUUAAAUCUACAGCUAUCUUCCCUGGAUGUGGACAUCAUAUUUAUGAAGAAGCACCCUGCAGCAGAAGAAUCUAAACGUGGACCUCAAUUCUGGUCAUCAUAGGCUCAGCAGACUUCGAGAAACUGGUUAAGAUGUACUCCAGUAAAUUAUGUGCUAUUUGAUUCUUCUGCAUUUAGUCAGUGGUUAGUUUUAGUUCAAAUAUUACAUUCCAUAUAUCCCACACAUAAUUUCAUAUUGAGCAAGUCUAUUUUCAAUCUUCUGAACUUAUUUUUUCAGUUUUAAUAUAUCUGUCAGCAAUGAGUUUUAGUUGUGUUUUUGUCCAGUUGGGCACACAUAA